rnacentral:lncRNA from 1 species
UAGUCUAAUUUUGAUGCUUUGAUGAGCUACCUCUGAAGUUACUUACAGAGAUUCCCAGACCAGAUAUUUUGAUAGAUUUUGAUAGAAUUGUCGUAGAAAGCCCAAGUUCCUGAAAUCUCAUCAGGUUUACAACAUAAUAAACUUUCAUUAAGAUGAAACUUUAUGAAACUUAUUCUGUUUAUUUCCCAGAGCUAACCAGAUGCUGAUUGAAUAUUGAAUGAGUUGGGUAUGAACCUUGCUCAAUAACACUGGCAUGAAAACUGGCCUGGAGAGAAAUAUCUGUGAGCUUAGAAUAUAUUUUUUGAUAAUAUUGCUGAGUAGAGAACAUGGGGAUGGCUGGUACAUAAUUCCCCUCCAUGUCCUAGAGCCAAUGGAUCAGCCUGUCGAGCAAGCUGGUGGGGCCGGUGCUUGGGCUCUGGUAAAGUACGAGGCUCCAAGGAAACUGUGGGGAGCGUCUACGCCACCAGCCAUUCACACGUGCGUGUGCGUGCAGUGAGAGAUGGGAAUGAACCAUAAUAAUCCCUCCUUUAUCAUUAAAGUCUAUUGCUUUACUGGAAACGAAGGUUGUUUAUUGGUUAUUUAUUUUGUUUUUCUUAAAUGACCAAAAUUCCCUUUUUUCUCCCCACUUUUGGAAACCACAUCAUUCAUGGAGGGGGAUUGAGACAUGGCGGAGACUGGGAGGGAGCCUGCCAAUUUCCAGGCCCAAGUUUGUUGUGGAAACUUUGGGAGGAUGUGGUCGGGUAGCCGAAUCUCAGUGUGUUCACUACCAGCUGUGGCUCAUGCUCUGGGUCUAAGAUUCUGACUCAAGAAGUAUAAUUUGGCAUAAAGUCAAGGCUGUAGCAGCUAAGGAAGA